rnacentral:rRNA from 1 species
UACGUAGGGUGCGAGCGUUAUCCGGAAUCAUUGGGUUUAAAGGGUCCGUAGGCGGGCUGAUAAGUCAGAGGUGAAAGCGCUUAGCUCAACUAAGCAACUGCCUUUGAAACUGUCAGUCUUGAAUGAUUGUGAAGUAGUUGGAAUGUGUAGUGUAGCGGUGAAAUGCUUAGAUAUUACACAGAACACCGAUAGCGAAGGCAUAUUACUAACAAUUUAUUGACGCUGAUGGACGAAAGCGUGGGGAGCGAAC